rnacentral:lncRNA from 1 species
GUGGACCACACUUACUAGAACUUGUGACAACCUAUACAUUGUAUUUAUUCAAUCACUUUACCGUCGUUCUUAUCAUCUUUGUAAUCAUUACUGUACUGUACUGUGACCAUUAGGAUGCCUCCAGUACAUAUCAACUGGGAUCGACCCAUGCUAGGCUUAUGCCCCUGAGAUACCACCCAUAAACACAUAAAUAAGGAUCGACCCAUGAUAAGCUUAUGCCCCUGGAAUACCACCCGAUAAGAGAGAACUUUCAUCACUUAGUUCAAUUAAUCUUUGAGAUUGUUAUUUCGGUCGUCACCACAUUUUUGAUACUUUGAAACAGUGAUACAUCAAUAGGAACCAAGUAAUAGACCUUCUAUACAAUAACGAUAUAAUAAAGACUCAUUGGUACAUCAACAAUGUGUUUCAGAAUCAUCAAUAUCACAACAAUGAAAUAGGAGUCUUUUGGUAUAUCAAUGAAACAUUUUGACACUUUAUAGAAUGGAAACAACUUCGUUGGUAACGUAGAACAAUACAUGUUUUUGGACAACCUCGGAAUCUUACUUGAUGGAACAUUGGUGUUUUCAUGCCAAAGAACAUUGUUAGAGUAUGCUUUACAUACCUCGUUGUAGAUUCAGAUACCAAUUCAACACAACUUCCCGCCUUUACAAAUCACUUAUCUACAAUGAAAUGUUUGGCAUCUAGUAUUAGCAACCCAACACCACAAUUCUCUUCCAUAAUUCCAUACUACCAAUAUUUGCAAAACAUUCCAAAAACCAACUUGAACAAUAGGUUUAUGUGUGUAUAUAUAUAUAAUCAUCAUUUCAAUACCACAUCAUCAAUACUACAUCAUCACCCCAAAUUCCUUCACAAUUUAACAUAAUCCAACCAUGCACAAGAAUAAUCCAACAUCAUUUCCAAUCAUCUUUCAACAACAAUCAAAUAACAUACUUCUUAUGCUCACAUGCAUAUAUAUAUAUACAUAUCCAUAUAAAUAACACCAACAUAAUUUACAUCCUUACCAAAAAAAUGGCCCUUUUGAUUUCGAAGUCCUGUUGGCACAAAUAAGGGGUGCUUCUCGAAGCCCUUGAGACGGUGAACACAACUACGGAAUCAAUUUGGAUUUUCUACGGUUGAAU